GCUGUAUAUCGCGUAAAUUAUUUCUAGGGUAGUUGCAAAGUUCUCGAUUCGGAUUGUACCUAAUCAAACACCAGAAGAGAUUUACCGACACCUUGAUAACUAUAUAAAAAAAAUAUGGAAUUGUUGCAAAAGCGUAAACCAGUAUAGUUUUAAAAUGGAUUUUGGAAUCGAACCCUGGCGAGAUGAUCCUUUUAAUACACAUUAUCAAGCAGCAGCAGCAGCAAUUAAAUACGUGUACGGCGUGCAACCUAUAUACUUAUGUCAAGGUUGUACAAUUCCUGCAAUUGCCGCACUCCAAUUCAUAUGUACAGGAAGUAGUAUUUUGGUACUGCCAAUUAGG
rnacentral:misc_RNA from 1 species